rnacentral:rRNA from 1 species
CUGGUUGAUCCUGCCAGUAGUCAUAUGCUUGUCUCAAAGAUUAAGCCAUGCAUGUCUUAGUAUAAGCUUCAAUUUUGUGAAACUGCAAAUGGCUCAUUAAAACAGUCACAAUGCAUUUGGCGAUCAAUUCUAAAUGGAUAUCUGUGGGAAUUCUAUAGUUAAUACAUGCACUAAAACUUAUCUUUGGGGAAAGGUUGUGGUCGUUAGUUACAGAACCAAUUCAAGCUAUGCUUGUACACUUGUAUGAUUCACAAUGACAAAUGAAAUGCAUGGCAACAGCUGGUGAUAAUUCAUUCCGGUUUCUGACCUAUCAGCUUUCGACGGUAAGGUAUUGGCUUACCGUGGCAAUGACAGGUGACGGAGGAUUAGGGUUUGAUUCCGGAGAGGGAGCUUGAUAAAUGGCGACCACAUCUAAGGAAGGCAGCAGGCGCGCAAAUUACCCAAUCCUGGCACAGGGAGGUAAUGGCAAGAAAUAACAAUACAAGGCAUCCAUGUCUUGUACUUGGAAUGGAUGGAUUUUAAACCUUUCUAUACGUAUCAAUUGGAGGGCAAGUCUGGU